rnacentral:tRNA from 1 species
UCCCUGGUGGCUCAGAUGAUAAAGAAUCUGUCUGCAGCAUAGGAGACCCAGGUUCGAUCCCUGGUUGGGGAA